rnacentral:tRNA from 1 species
GGUAGCGCUGCCGAGCGAUCUCAGGCGCUGGUUUAAGGUACCAGUCUCUGCUAAGGCGUGGGUUUGAAUCCCACCAUUGUCA